ensembl:lncRNA novel transcript
ACGUUGGUGGUACGUUGGUGGUAGAGUAAGGGUGGAAAACCAGGAAGGAGGAGAAGGCCAGGGAGGGCACAAAAGUCAAAGAAAACAAUUAUCGGGGACAUGGGGAUAGUGUGGACCAGCUUUGUUGGCAUCCAAGUAAUCCUGACCUAUUUGUUACGGCGUCCGGAGAUAAAACCAUUCGCAUCUGGGAUGUGAGGACUACAAAAUGCAUUGCCACUGUGAACACUAAAGGGGAGAACAUUAAUAUCUGCUGGAGUCCUGAUGGGCAGACCAUUGCUGUAGGCAACAAGGAUGAUGUGGUGACCUUUAUUGAUGCCAAGACACACCGUUCCAAAGCAGAAGAGCAGUUCAAGUUCGAGGUCAACGAAAUCUCCUGGAACAAUGACAAUAAUAUGUUCUUCCUGACAAAUGGCAAUGGUUGUAUCAACAUCCUCAGCUACCCAGAACUGAAGCCUGUGCAGUCCAUCAACGCCCAUCCUUCCAACUGCAUCUGUAUCAAGUUUGACCCCAUGGGGAAGUACUUUGCCACAGGAAGUGCAGAUGCUUUGGUCAGCCUCUGGGAUGUGGAUGAGU